rnacentral:rRNA from 1 species
CUGGCUCAGAACGAACGCUGGCGGCGUGGAUAAGACAUGCAAGUCGCACGGAGUGCCUUCGGGCACUGAGUGGCGCACGGGUGAGUAACACGUGAGUAACCUGCCCGUGAGACAGGGAUAGCCCCGGGAAACUGGGAUUAAUACCUGAUGGUCUCGCAAGAGUAAAGCAGCAAUGCGCUCAGGGGGGGGCUCGCGUCCUAUUAGUUAGUUGGCGGGGUAACGGCCCACCAAGGCGAUGACGGGUAGCCGGUCUGAGAGGAUGUCCGGCCACACUGGAAAUGAGACACGGUCCAGACACCUACGGGUGGCAGCAGUCGAGAAUCAUUCACAAUGGGCGAAAGCCUGAUGGUGCGACGCCGCGUGGGGGAGGAAGGUCUUCGGAUUGUAAACCCCUGUCAUGUGGGAGCAAGACUUCGGUUUGAUAGUACCACAAGAGGAAGAGACGGCAAACUCUGUGCCAGCAGCCGCGGUAAUACAGAGGUCUCAAGCGUUGUUCGGAAUCACUGGGCGUAAAGGGUACGUAGGCGGCAUCAUAAGUCGUGCGUGAAAGGCAGGGGCUCAACCUCUGGAGUGCGCGUGAUACUGUGAUGCUGGAGUAAUGGAGGGGGAACCGGAAUUCUUGGUGUAGCAGUGAAAUGCGUAGAUAUCAAGAAGAAGACUCGUGGCGAAGGCGGGUUCCUGGACAUUAACUGACGCUGAGGUACGAAGGCCAGGGUAGCGAAAGGGAUUAGAUACCCCUGUAGUCCUGGCAGUAAACGGUGCACGCUUGGUGUGCGGGGAAUCGACCCCCUGCGUGCCGGAGCAAACGCGUUAAGCGUGCCGCCUGGGGAGUACGGUCGCAAGAUUAAAACUCAAAGAAAUUGACGGGGACCCGCACAAGCGGUGGAGUAUGUGGCUUAAUUCGAUGCAACGCGAAGAACCUUACCAAAGCUUGACAUCCCGUGACCGACUAUGAAAGUAGUUUUUCUAUUCGUAGACACGGAGACAGGUGCUGCAUGGCCGUCGUCAGCUCGUGUCGUGAGAUGUUUGGUUAAGUCCAGCAACGAGCGCAACCCCUGCUGCCAGUUACCAGCGAGUAAAGUCGGGGACUCUGGCGGGACUGCCCAGAUCAACUGGGAGGAAGGUGGGGACGACGUCAGGUCAGUAUGGGCCUUAUGCCUUGGGCU